CAGCAACCCCCGGAGCUGCCGGUGAGCCCGCGGCACGCUCUGAAUUAUGCUCACAUUGCUGAGAGGAUGGGUCACAUUUUUGGGAAUCUGCCCUGACCUCCUCUGGUGAUGCUCUGGCUUCCUGAGGAUGGAGACAUGGAACAAAUUCUUGCCCAGACUUGAGGAACUUUACGACACUGGAUGAUGAAAAAGCUCCCGAAUCCUUGCAAAUGGGGCCUUGCCUGGUGGACGCCCCUCCAGGAGGUGGGAUGGGCACAAGGUGAUGGUGUGAGCAGCACAUCCUGGGGGAAAUGGGACACAAAGCUGGAGGAGAAAGCGCUCUGGAUCUCCCCCAUCGCUUCUGAAGCUCUGCCUCAUGGUGACAGCAGGAGCAGCUCCAGCACAAAUCCUUGCUGUGCUCCUUGCCUCGGGGACAACAGGGUUUGCAGAUUUAGAAAUGCAGGAAGAAAAGAUUGCACGUGGGCAGCUUCAGCCCUUCCAAGGACCUUCUGGCUGAGCUGGUGGGAAACUUCAGCUUCUCAAACGAGACAAAGCAAGGUGAAAACCACUUGAUUUGUCCAUCUCCAUCCCCAGCAGCUCCUGGGAGGAAGGGGGAGCUGGGUCAAGAGGGGCAAAGCACGGUGCUGAUGGACAAAUCCCUUGCACAGGCUGGGGUUGGGCCACACUGGGCAUUCCAGACCUGGCACAGCUCUGGAGGUGCUGGAACAGUGUGAGACACCCCGUGAGGCUCUGCCAGUGCAGGGCUGGGAGUGCUCUGUGUGAAACAGGAGCAGGAUGCACAGACCUUCCACGCCUAUUGGAAACAGAUUUUUCCUUGACACACAAGCACAGAAGAUUCCUCUGGAAUGAGAGCCCUGACCAAGGCUGGGCGGCAGAGAAGGGUUUCCAGCUCCUUGCCGAGAGGAAGGAAAUCCGCCCGUGGGACAGACGAUAUUGUCUUUUGUUUGACUCUGCAACGCUGAUUAAUGAAUGCUUUUUUGAUUUCACAAGAAUUUCUGGGGUUUGUAAACUUUCUUCAGAGAUUUUUCUGGGAAAAAUGGAAACCGUGCUCGGGGUUCUCCUUCUGCAAACAAACCACUCAACGUUUUCAUUCAAAUCAAAAUUUUCCACGGAUAGUAAUGGGGAUUUCUCAGCCAGUAUCAUAAACAUGGUAGGCAGUGCAUUCUGAUCUAAAUAAAAUUUGUGUUUCAGCAGCA
rnacentral:lncRNA from 1 species